GGACUACCGGGGUAUCUAAUCCCGUUUGCUCCCCUGGCCUUCGUGCCUCAGCGUCAGGAACUGUCCAGAGACCCGCCUUCGCCACUGGUCUUCCUUACGAUAUCUACGCAUUUCACCGCUACACCGUAAAUUCCAGUCUCCUCUCCAGUCCUCAAGCACGGCAGUAUCGAAUGCAGUUUCGGAGUUAAGCUCCGAGAUUUCACACCCGACUUACCGCGCCGCCUACGCACCCUUUACGCCCAAUGAAUCCGAACAACGCUUGAGACCUCUGUAUUACCGCGGCUGCUGGCAC
rnacentral:rRNA from 1 species